UGUGCAUCAUAAAGGUAUCCAAUUACCUCAGCCGGAAAAAAAAUCCAGACAAUAACAGAUACAAUCCUAUGCUCUCUGUGCAGUGGUUCUUCCUGGGUGUACUUUGCUGUGAAUCCAGCCAGAGGUACCAGUGGCAGAGAAGAAAAAAACAUAAUGGAACAACAUCUUAGAGUUGACGGAUUUUCAAACCUGAAAGCCAUUAGAAUCUGCGCUAAAAAUGCAGUGUUUCCCCCUGCCUGGUUUGCACCCAUGAAAUCAAUGAAAGCACACAGAAAUUAAUGAAAGAAACGUUGAAAUUCUCCCACCCCAGACUGCAUAUUUUGAUGCUUACUACCCACCCUUCCAUUUUCCUGGA
rnacentral:lncRNA from 1 species